GGAAAAUAAGAGUGUGAAUGAGGGAAGCUCUCUGCAGUGUUUAGUGUCCAGUUUUCCCGGCUCCGAAGAGAAGCAGCGUCGCGAUGCCCCCUCCUGCUGAUAUAGUGAAGGUGGCGAUAGAAUGGCCAGGUGCCUUCCCCAAGUUGAUGGAAAUCGAUCAAAAAAAGCCACUGUCUUCAAUCAUAAAAGAAGUCUGUGAUGGGUGGUCUCUUGCAAAUCAUGAUCAAUAUGCACUGCAGCAUGCUGAUAGUUCCAAUUUCUACAUCACAGAAAAGAAUCGUAAUGAGAUAAAGAACGGAGCAAUCCUUCGAU